CGGAUAUUGGGCGUAAGAGCUCGUAGGCGGUUUGUCGCGUCUGUCGUGAAAGUCCGGGGCUUAACCCCGGAUCUGCGGUGGGUACGGGCAGACUAGAGUGCAGUAGGGGAGACUGGAAUUCCUGGUGUAGCGGUGGAAUGCGCAGAUAUCAGGAGGAACACCGAUGGCGAAGGCAGGUCUCUGGGCUGUAACUGACGCUGAGGAGCGAAAGCAUGGGGAGCGAACAGGAUUAGAUACCCUGGUAGUCCAUGCCGUAAACGUUGGGCACUAGGUGUGGGGAACAUUCCACGGUUUCCGCGCCGCAGCUAACGCAUUAAGUGCCCCGCCUGGGGAGUACGGCCGCAAGGCUAAAACUCAAAGGAAUUGACGGGGGCCCGCACAAGCGGCGGAGCAUGCGGAUUAAUUCGAUGCAACGCGAAGAACCUUACCAAGGCUUGACAUGUUCUCGAUCGCCGUAGAGAUACGGUUUCCCCUUUGGGGCGGGUUCACAGGUGGUGCAUGGUUGUCGUCAGCUCGUGUCGUGAGAUGUUGGGUUAAGUCCCGCAACGAGCGCAACCCUCGUUCCAUGUUGCCAGCACGUAAUGGUGGGGACUCAUGGGAGACUGCCGGGGUCAACUCGGAGGAAGGUGAGGACGACGUCAAAUCAUCAUGCCCCUUAUGUCUUGGGCUUCACGCAUGCUACAAUGGCCGGUACAAUGGGUUGCGAUACUGUGAGGUGGAGCUAAUCCCAAAAAGCCGGUCUCAGUUCGGAUUGGGGUCUGCAACUCGACCCCAUGAAGUCGGAGUCGCUAGUAAUCGCAGAUCA
rnacentral:rRNA from 1 species